AAAAAGACAAACCCUGGUUUCCGUGCCCAACGUUUGACCGUCUGUCUUAUUUCAAAUAAUUAUGAAAAAAAUUAAAAGACAAGUCACGCAUAAAAUAUUAAUCAUGUUUUAUCAUCUAACAACAAUGAAAAUAUAAAUUACAAAAAAAUUUCAUAUAAGACGGACAGUCAAAGUUGGACACGGAAAUCCAGGGUUUGCCUUUUU
rnacentral:pre_miRNA from 1 species